rnacentral:rRNA from 1 species
GGUCAGGCGGUACCCGCUGAUUUAAGCAUAU